UUUCAAACACCUCUCUCUGCAACGUCAAGAUCCUGCCAAAUGGACUGUUUGGUGCAUAAUUCUGCUGCAGACCACAGAGGAGGUGUUCCAUAGCUCAUUCUGGAGACUGGUUGCAGACCUCAUACUCUGAAGAAUUACAAUUCAUGGACAUCACAGGAUUGCACCAAUCUCAGGAAACUGA